AUCUGAUGUUGCUAUGAUGUUGUUACGAGUGGGUAGUGUGACCUUGAGUGCUAAUGAUGAUAACAUAGGAUGAAUAAGCCCUACUGUUCUGAAGUGCUGAAGCUUCAUCUGAGAAUGGUCUUGAGUAGAAAAAAAUUGGCAAGGACUUGAUUUCUGGGGAGGUGCCCUACAACCCCUACUCACUGUUUGAGAAGAGGAAUUUGAUAUAAUGUAAUUGUGUAGCCUAAGCACUAUUUUCAUUUGUGUUGCCUACUACACUUUCAUCUUGCUAUCCUCUAUGAUACUGUCUGUGCCCAAAAGUGGUUGCAUUUGUAAUGCUGUCUUUAAGAUACCUGUCACAAUGACUGUUCCAUAACUGAAAUGGAAUAUAGAAGAACCAUAAAAAACAAAACAAAAAAUCAUGCAAAACUGAAAUGGAAGAAUCGUCUUCCUCGAUCAUAAAUAUAAAUUCUACAUGAGCAUAAGGAAGGCAAACAAAUCGUCUUCAAACGAUGACAGAGAGAUGCCCUUCAGAAAAAAAAUCAUGGUUAAAAUUCCUUGUUAAUCCCUGAGCAGCAAAUUGUUUGAGAUAUCUGACAGUCAUUCUCGUCUCUUCAUACUCUUCUGUACUGGAAAAACAGUUGUUCUGGAGACUGCAGUGCCAAGGCCUGUCUAGUAAUCUGUGCAGUAACAGGGAAAAUGAAUUAUUAAACUGCUUUCUUUCUUUUAGUAAACAAAUACUCAAACUAAUGAACACCUCUUUCUUAUUUAUUUCCAUCCUCCUUCUCUCCAUUGGAUUGUGAAGUAUGGCUUGGAUCACAAGAUCACAGUGCAAUGUUCCUUGCAUGGCGUUCAGGGUGUAUGAAGGAGAAAAGGGAAGUGAAGCACAUGAUUCAAUUGCAAGUCACUAGACAUAAGGCUGCCGUUAGGUGCUGUGAUGCAGCAGCAGUUAAACUAGUCAUUCGUGAAAGAAAGGGCUAUGUGUUUGUGGUGGCAUGGCACAGAAGGCUGAGGAUAGAGUAAAAAACAGCAGCUAGCAUAAAAUUCUUCCUUUCAGAAGAUAAUCAUGUUGUGGCUCCUCAAUGAGUUUCAAACUGUUGCCUACUGUGUUGUCUGCUGUUGUUGUAUGGUUCUUAGGAGAGGAGUUAAAGAACGCUUCAGAUAGGUAGAGGCAAGGGAGAUGCUUUGGGGAAGAGUUUUGGCAGGAAUUUUUCCUUUGUUUUUUGUUCUCUUGGCCAAAAUAAGUGUUCAGGGCUUUCUUUAAACCUGAAUUGGAGAAGUAUUUUAGUGUGUGCAUAUGUGUGUGUCAGUUCUUGCAGUUUUUGAGUAAUAAAAUUCCGGUUUAAU
rnacentral:lncRNA from 1 species